UGCAGAAUCACGUGAACCAUCGAGUCUUUGAACGCAAGUUGCGCCCCAAGCUGUUAGGCUGAGGGCACGUCUGCCUGGGUGUCACGCAUCGUCGCCCCACCCCAACCCCCUGGGGGACUGGCGGUGCAGGCGGAGAAUGGCCUCCCGUGCGCUGCCGCUCGCGGUUGGCCCAAAUACGAGUCCUCGGCGACGGAAGCCGCGACAAUCGGUGGUGCAAGCAUGCCUCUCGAGAUCACGUCGCGCGCCCACGUCUCCGUAUGGGGGCUGCAGGACCCUGGUGCUCUGCGCAGGCGGAGCUCGCAUCGCGACCCCAGGUCAGGCGGGAUCACCCGCUGAGUUUAAGCAUAUCAAUAAGCGGAGGAAAAGAAACUUACCAGGAUUCCCUUAGUAACGGCGAGCGAACCGGGAAGAGCCCAGCUUGAAAAUCGGGCGCCCCCGGUGCCCGA
rnacentral:rRNA from 1 species